GGGAGGCUUAACACAUGCAGGUCGAGGGGCAGCACGAUGUUAGCAAUACGUUGGUGGCGACCGGCGCACGGGUGAGUAACACGUAUGCAACCUACCCUGUACAGGGGGAUAACCCGGAGAAAUUCGGACUAAUACCGCAUAAUGAUAUUUGAGGGCAUCCUUAGAUAUUUAAAGCUUCGGUGGUACGGGAUGGGCAUGCGGAACAUUAGCUAGUUGGCAGGGUAAUGGCCUACCAAGGCAAUGAUGUUUAGGGGACCUGAGAGGGUGAUCCCCCACACUGGUACUGAGACACGGACCAGACUCCUACGGGAGGCAGCAGUGAGGAAUAUUGGUCAAUGGGCGGAAGCCUGAACCAGCCAUCCCGCGUGCAGGAAGACGGCCCUAUGGGUUGUAAACUGCUUUUCCAGGGGGCGAAACUUUCCGAUGUAUCGGGAUUUGACGGUACCCUGGGAAUAAGCAUCGGCUAACUCCGUGCCAGCAGCCGCGGUAAUACGGAGGAUGCGAGCGUUAUCCGGAUUUAUUGGGUUUAAAGGGUGCGUAGGCGGAUCGAUAAGUCAGUGGUGAAACCCUGCAGCUUAACUGUAGACUUGCCGUUGAUACUGUUGGUCUUGAGUGUGGUCAAGGUAGGCGGAAUGUGUAAUGUAGCGGUGAAAUGCUUAGAUAUUACACAGAACACCGAUUGCGAAGGCAGCUUACUGGGCCAUUACUGACGCUGAUGCACGAAAGCGUGGGGAUCGAACAGGAUUAGAUACCCUGGUAGUCCACGCCGUAAACGAUGAUCACUCGCUGUUGGCGAUACACAGUCAGCGGAUAAGCAAAAGCAAUAAGUGAUCCACCUGGGGAGUACGGCCGCAAGGCUGAAAACUCAAAGGAAAAGACGGAGGCCCGCACAAGCGGUGGAGCAUGUGGUUUAAUUCGAUGCAACGCGAAGAACCUUACCUGGGCUUGACAUCCCGGGAAUCUUCUGGAAACAGGAGAGUGCCCUUCGGGG
rnacentral:rRNA from 1 species